rnacentral:other from 1 species
CAUCUCCUGCGGUGUUCGAAACGGGCUGGGGUACCCUCAGAGCCUAAUAAAAUCCCCUGGAGUUCAACACCGGGGUGACGGUGCGCAAGUCCACCCUCGAGUGGAAAGCCUGAAGCACCGCGGCGAGCUCCACCUGAACCAUAGGUUCUAGGGCGAAAGUUCGUUACGGCACAGGCGGGAGAUGU